GUGCGGCCUAAAUUUUUCAGGCGGCGCCGAUUCGAAAAAUACUUGAAAAAACAGGCGCAGCCACAAUUUCCCUGGUGUUGGCGCAGUAUUCGCGCACCCCGGUUAAGC
rnacentral:sRNA from 1 species